GUGGGGAAUCUUCCGCAAUGGGCGCAAGCCUGACGGAGCAACGCCGCGUGAGUGAAGAAGGCCUUCGGGUCGUAAAGCUCUGUCUUCAGGGAAGAACAACUAGAGUGUGAACAAUGCUUUAGUCUGACGGUACCUGAGGAGGAAGCUCCGGCUAACUACGUGCCAGCAGCCGCGGUAAUACGUAGGGAGCGAGCGUUGUCCGGAAUUACUGGGCGUAAAGGGCGCGUAGGCGGGGAUUUAAGUCAGAUGUGAAAACUCCGGGCUUAACUUGGAGACUGCAUUUGAAACUGGAUCUCUUGAGGGCAGGAGAGGAAAGUGGAAUUCCUAGUGUAGCGGUGAAAUGCGUAGAUAUUAGGAGGAACACCAGUGGCGAAGGCGACUUUCUGGACUGUACCUGACGCUGAGGCGCGAAAGCGUGGGGAGCGAACAGGAUUAGAAACCCGUGUAGUCC
rnacentral:rRNA from 1 species